rnacentral:lncRNA from 1 species
AGGGAGACCGGGCCGGAUUGCGGGGAGUGAGCAGGUUCAGCAGUGACGGCAUUCUUAAGAGUCCUGCCCAAUGCAUCUGAUUGCCAGCCUCGCUGGACCGUUGAGAGGAUUCAUCGAGACCCUGGAUAUGAAUAUGCAGUGUGAACUGAAGUUUGGGGACAUGAGUAAUCAGUCACAGUGGCCCAAGAUUUGAGGUGUAAAUGGAGAAGUCAGAAUGAUUCGCUGCAGCUGUCUGGAACAGGUUGGGUGAGGGUAAGGGUGGGAAAGGUGGCUGAGGCCAGGUUGUGAGAGGCCUUUCAUGGCAGGCUGAGGGGGUUAUACUAUAGGGAGGAUUUUAAGCAGAGGAGCUGGUGGACUGGUGAGCAGGGCAUAUAGGUGACACCUAGCCAACUUGAGAGGUCAGAAUACAUGAUUCCAGAAGGCUAAGGAGAAGGCUGCCAGUAGAGUAAAGGGGAAGAAUUCCCAGGGCGAGGAAAACACAUAAGCCUUUGCGUGUGGAGCUGUGUAAAUUCAAGGUCUGGCCAGGGGGCUGUGAGAUGCCGUGUGUGCUUGGAGCACAGGAAUGAGAAGUGAGGUGAGGAAGUGGCUGGGCCACCUCACAAAGGGCCUCAAAUUCUAGGCUGAGAAACUCGGACUUGGUCCUGAGGGUAAAGGGGGCCGGGAGAAUGUUAUGCAUGGUGCUGAAUUUGCAUUCAACACAGCUGUGAAAAGCAUCUGUCAGGGUCAGGCCAGUGUGGG